CGACGGUAGAUAAUGUGCCCUCUUGCGGGGAUACCGUUCGAAGGAACGUUAAUACCGCAUAACACCCUCGGUGGGCAUCCACUGAGAGUCAAACUUCCGGGGCGGGAGGAGCAAUCUGCGUUCUAUCAGGUAGUUGGUGAGGUAAUGGCUCACCAAGCCUACGACGGAUAACUGGUCUGAGAGGAUGAUCAGUCACACUGGAACUGAGACACGGUCCAG
rnacentral:rRNA from 1 species